GGCAUCCGCCGCCUUCUAUUCACCAUCCAUGCAAUUUCUGCGCUAAAAUACCAACAAACUUGGGUAAUAUCGAAUAUAAUCCAUGGAAAACAACACGAAUACAAAUAACUAAAACACACCCAUGACAUAUCCUCUGCCGAUCUUGUUCAUCUCCGCCGAUCUUCUUCUUCUCAUCUUCUUCUUCUCCGUUCAACUAUGUCUGAAUCACAGAUAUCUGAUAAUUUUCUCUGGGCUUCACCAUCGUUGGAGAACGAUUUGGGAUCCACCGACCUCCCGUCCAUGGAAUCGGUGGCAAAAUCCUAUGUCGUCUUCCUUGGGCUUGAGGUGCCGAAAACUGAGUCCAUGGUGCCGGAAACCAAUUUAUUCGGCAUGUCGUGGCGAGCUACUGAAUCUAGCAUUUCGCCGCCUCGAUCUAAGAUCCAUUUGCUCCUGGCGACUAGAUCUACUAUCGAUCGAGUCCCGGCGACGCGAUCUCUUGAAGCUAGGGUUCCGGAACCCGGAUCUCUGGAAGAGGCAGAGUUCUACAACUUCGCCCAAUAUGAGGAUGAAAAAUGGACGAAAUGGGUGGGCAUCUCUGAGGCGGCGGAUGAACCUCCGCCGCCGCCGCCUGAUAACACUCAUGUUUCCAUGGUUUUUAGUGUUCUUAUGAUGUUAAUUUUAUAGGAAAUUGAGUGUUGGAUGAUUGUUUUGUGCUUAAAUUGUUUUAUCUUGUGAAAUAUGUUACUUUCUCGUACUUUGAUGAAUUUUACAGAAAUAUGGAGUUCGAAUUUGGACUGUGGUUUAAUGAAAGUUGUAGUUCGUCUCGAUACGAGUUCGUAGGCGCAAACGGUUCGCAAAUCCGAGUUCGGACGAGAAAGAUAUGGCCGAAACAAGAAAUUCGCGCACAACAGUGAAUAGUGCCCGACGGGAAUUUCCGAAUUUUCGGGAUUUUGCGGGAUUUUCGGAUUUUAUCAGUAUUUUCGAGCUCUACACUGUAUUUAUCUCCUGUGCCUAUAUAUAGGUCCUUUCCCUGACCUAAUAGACACAUCUCUUUACCUCUCUUUAUUUCUUUUCUUCUUCCUUUUAUUUUUAGACUUAGAAUUUUAUUGCUUCCAUACAUUAGCUUUAUUUUUCCUGCAAGAUUUCAGCUGUCAUUCAACAUUCAUUCCGGGUUUUAUUUAAUUCAGUUUUUAUUAUUGCUUUCUUUUUAAUUAUGUUUAUGCUUUCUUUUGCUAUGUCUGGCUAGUUUCUUUUUCUGAUUCUAGGGUUUGUAAAUAGUUAAUUAGGUUCAUGUGAUUUAUUUGUUAAUACCUAUGUGCCUUCCAGUUUAUGAUUCAUAAUUCCUGGUGCUUAAUUUCUUGUGAAUUAUCUGAUCAAUAGUUUGCAUGUUUAGCUAUUCGAUUUGAGACCUAGCGGAGAUAACUGUUUAGCGGAUUCAGGAAUGUAUGAUAUGAUCUUAACCUUGAGACCUAGCGGAGAUAGGUGGAUCAUAGGGAGCUAUUCUUAGGAACUAUUAGGAGUUAGUAGAUUUUCUUGAGACCUAACGGAGAUAGAUAAUUUACUAAUCUACGAUCGUUGCUGCUCUAGCGAGAGUGAUUGAUUAAUUAAGUGAUCUCUCAUCAUAACUGGAUUAAACUGGUACAUAUGAUUAAUAGAUUUAUUGCGUAGAUUUAGUUAAUGAAUUUACUACCCUAGGAUCAGUUGUUUUUAAUAUUUGAUUCUUCUACGUGCUUUGAUUUAUUUUUAUUUGUGUUUUAGUUUAAGUUAGUCAAACAUUCUUUUUAUUCGUUUGCCUGUCUACUGUUAUAGUUUGUUUAGGAGAUAGCUAGAGUGAUUUCGGUUUUUCAGUCCCUGUGGAUACGAUACUCGAUUACUUGUUGCUUGCUACAAUUGCCUGUGUUAGUUGCAGUUUUUGUUGCUAAGAAAUUAGUGAUCACCGCCCUCCGUGCGAAAGGAGC
rnacentral:lncRNA from 1 species